UGGGCAGCCAGAAUUGGAGGACGCUAUCUAAAGGUGACUCCAGAUACAGAGUUGUAAAACUCGGGGUCCCUGAGCAUGACCAUGGGUUAGGUAAAUCGACGUUGCUUUGGAGAAGGAAGCCCGUGGAGUUCAAGAAUCAUUCCAGCAGGCCGGUGAGAAGGCUCAGUGGCCCAGCCCACUCCGCUGGCCGCCUUCCGGCUACCUGCCUCUCACCACUCCAGGAUCGCUCAUUCGCAACAACAGCUUCCAUUGUCGGCCACAUCUGGGACUUCGGGGUUUUAAGCGAAGCUCCCUAAGGCAGAGGACAGAAAAUGCUGCUAUUUUGGUAAAUUUGACUGACCUCCUCACCCACCUACCUGCGCGCGCAUUAGCUUGUGAGCGUCUGGUGCACCUCUUUGCAUUCUCCGAAGCUCCUCUACUUGGAUGGAUGGCAGGCCCACGAAUAGGCGCUCAAUAAGUAAGUAAUACCGGGUUGGGAAUUCCUGGCUAAGGCUUUCUGGUGAAAAGAAGUGUCGGGAUUGGUGGUUGGGGGACUAAGGAAAGCCAAUGAUGAGACAGGACAGCAUAUAAAUGUCCGUGUGUGCACAAAGGGCCAAGAGAAGGUUGAGAAGUUUGUGCUUCUAGGAAGCAGCGCAAGGCUGAUCUCCGUGGAUCCACAUUCAGUAGUCGCUGGAUUUUUGAGCAAAAGGCUUCCAGCUAAGCCGGGUUCCUGCUGCUUGGAGCCCGGUCGAAGGGCUGCAAUCUGUGCCAGCGUUUGGCUCGGAUCUACUGCACGGCACUGCCCUCCUCUGGACACAGAGCCAAGGCUCGCUAAGUCCUGCUGCUCUGGGGCCUCUCUCAGGUUUCCUUCCCUCUUUCCUCGGGACAACAGUGUCCCGGACAAACAGGUUUUUCAGUUUGGCUUCUCAUGGCAGGUGUUUACCCGGCCUGCCUGGCUUUGAAUCCAUGAAACCUGGGAAGGUGGAAGAACAAAGUCUUCCUUGACUGCUGCUGGCACACAGUGGGCUCUAUAAAUAUUUAAUUCCGGAAAAUAAACAUAGCCACACACAUUCUUGGCAUGCCGGCUGCACUUGGGACUAUUGUAAUGCCCAUUAGGGGAAGAAUUCACUGAAGUAUCCACACCUGUUCUUAGUCUAGGACAG